rnacentral:rRNA from 1 species
UACAGAGGGUGCGAGCGUUGUCCGGAAUCACUGGGCGUAAAGGGCGCGUAGGUGGUGGCUUAAGCGUGCGGUGAAAGCUCGGGGCUCAACCCCGAGUCGGCCGUGCGAACUGGGCUCACUGGAGCAUAGUAGAGGCAGGUGGAAUUCCGGGUGUAGCGGUGGAAUGCGUAGAGAUCCGGAAGAACACCGGUGGCGAAGGCGGUUAGCUGGGCAGUUGCUGACACUGAGGCGCGACAGCGUGGGGGAGCAAACAGG